rnacentral:lncRNA from 1 species
AAGUUGAUUUGACGAAUUUAUUUAUUUUGUUAAGAGAUUCGAGAUUGUAUUUCUAACCUAACAAGUUUAAAAUUUUGAAUUGUUGUGUUAUCAUACAAAUGUUGUAAAAGAUGAUGAACCUCAGUUCAAGUGAUGAAGAUUUGGAAGAGAUUGUAGGACUUUUAAAUGUUCCAAAAAAUGCAAAUUUUUUUGAGGAAACUGUGCAACAAUUUAAUAACCAACAAUUUAUACAGAAUUUUAGAUUAAGUAGAGACUUAGCUGUAGAUUUGGCAAAUAAGUAUGAAAGAUCUCAUUUCCACAAUAUUAUGUAAAAUUACUUUUCCUGUUUUGGAGUGUUGUUUGUCCUAGCGUAGAUAAAGAUAAAAGAAUAAGGUUAGGCAAUUGGCAUAGGCAACCCAAAAAACAUCCGGAAAUUGUUCGUGCAGAAACAAAUUCAGAAUAUAUUCGGAGACACGCUUGCGCAUAUAUUUGUAUCCGGGUUAAGUUCAGAAUACAUUCAGGAUGUGCUCCACGAAAACACCUAAUAAGA